AUAUUGGGCAAUGGGGGAAACCCUGACCCAGCAACGCCGCGUGAAGGAAGAAGGCCUUCGGGUUGUAAACUUCUUUUACCAGGGACGAAGAACGUGACGGUACCUGGAGAAAAAGCUCCGGCUAACUACGUGCCAGCAGCCGCGGUAAUACGUAGGGAGCGAGCGUUGUCCGGAUUUACUGGGUGUAAAGGGAGCGUAGACGGCGAAGCAAGUCUGAAGUGAAAGCCCGGGGCUCAACCCCGGAAUUGCUUUGGAAACUGUUUUGCUGGAGUGCAGGAGAGGCAAGCGGAAUUCCUAGUGUAGCGGUGAAAUGCGUAGAUAUUAGGAGGAACACCAGUGGCGAAGGCGGCUUGCUGGACUGUAACUGACGUUGAGGCUCGAAAGCGUGGGGAGCAAAC
rnacentral:rRNA from 1 species